UAAGGUGGUUAUAGCGACGGGGCUCACCUCUUACCAUUCCGAACAGAGAAGUUAAGCCCGUUUGCGCCGAUGGUACUGCUAUCCAGUGGGAGAGUAGGUCGCCGCCUUCC
rnacentral:rRNA from 2 species